GAUGAACGCUAGCGGCAGGCCUAAUACAUGCAAGUCGAACGGUGUCUUCGGACAUAGUGGCGCACGGGUGCGUAACACGUAUGCAACCUACCUUACAUUGGGGGAUAGCCUUUCGAAAGGGAGAUUAAUACCGCAUAAGACAGUAGCUGGGCAUCCAGCAGCUGUUAAAGAUUUAUCGAUGUAAGCUGGGCAUGCGUCCAAUUAGCUAGUUGGUGAGGUAACGGCUCACCAAGGCAAUGAUUGGUAGGGGAACUGAGAGGUCAAUCCCCCACACUGGCACUGGGAUACGGGCCAGACUCCGGCGGGAGGCAGCAGUAGGGAAUAUUGGGCAAUGGACGCAAGUCUGACCCAGCCAUGCCGCGUGCAGGAUGAAGGCGUUAUGCGUUGUAAACUGCUUUUAUACAGGAAGAAACGACUCUUGCGAGAGGCAUUGACGGUACUGUAUGAAUAAGCACCGGCUAACUCCGUGCCAGCCGCCGCCGUAACAC
rnacentral:rRNA from 1 species